CCAGGCCUGUAUGCAAUACUCUAAAUGGGGCCUAACAUAGGAAUUAUAUAAGCUACGCACCACUUCCUUACUUUUAUAACUAACAUUUCUAUUUAUAAAACAUCUUUCUAGCCAGCAGGGCACUUAUUAUCCCCCCAAGUGCCCAACUUUAACAGUGACACCAUGGAGGCAGCAGCAGGAGGUUUCUUCCUUCCUCUUGGACGACCCUGCUGAUGCACAGCAGCAGCGUGCUGAGCCUGAAGGCACAUGUGACACCUGCUCGGGUAGUGAAUGCGGCUGCUCGAGUGCAUGAGUCUGCUGCUCGGGCAGUGGAGGCUGCCAUGUACCUGAAAAUUAAAUAUUACCGGAAAAAAUUAGAAGAAAAUAAAACAGACAAAUAAAUA